rnacentral:rRNA from 1 species
GACGAACGCUGGCGGCGUGCUUAACACAUGCAAGUCGAACGAAGAGCGAUGGAAGCUUGCUUCUAUCAAUCUUAGUGGCGAACGGGUGAGUAACGCGUAAUCAACCUGCCCUUCAGAGGGGGACAACAGUUGGAAACGACUGCUAAUACCGCAUACGAUCUAAUCUCGGCAUCGAGGAUAGAUGAAAGGUGGCCCCUACAUGUAAGCUAUCACUGAAGGAGGGGAUUGCGUCUGAUUAGCUAGUUGGAGGGGUAACGGCCCACCAAGGCGAUGAUCAGUAGCCGGUCUGAGAGGAUGAACGGCCACAUUGGGACGGAGACACGGCCCAGACUCCUACGGGAGGCAGCAGUGGGGAAUCUUCCGCAAUGGACGAAAGUCUGACGGAGCAACGCCGCGUGAGUGAUGACGGCCUUCGGGUUGUAAAGCUCUGUUAAUCGGGACGAAAGGCCUUCUUGCGAAUAGGGAGAAGGAUUGACGGUACCGGAAUAGAAAGCCACGGCUAACUACGUG